AGUUCCUGGGACUGGAAUCCUGGUCUUUAUGUCAUUUCCCCAGCUCUGUGUAGGGGGGAGAUAUACAGACCUGGUCCUCUGAGAAACU